rnacentral:rRNA from 1 species
CCUACGGGUGGCUGCAGUGAGGAAUAUUGGUCAAUGGGCGCGAGCCUGAACCAGCCAAGUCGCGUGGGGGAAGAAGGUCCUAUGGAUUGUAAACCUCUUUUGUCGGGGAGCAAAAGACGCAACGCGUGGCGUUCCGAGAGUACCCGAAGAACAAGCAUCGGCUAACUCCGUGCCAGCAGCAGCGGUAAUACGGAGGAUGAGAGCGUUAUCCGGAUGCAUUGGGUUUAAAGGGCGCGUAGAUGGGUUGUUAAGUCAGUGGUGAAAGGUUGCGGCUCAACCCUAACAUUGCAAUUGAUACUGGCAGUCUUGAGUACAGUUGAGGUAGGCGGAAUUCGUGGUGUAGCGGUGAAAUGCUUAGAUAUCACGAAGAACCCCGAUUGCGAAGGCAGCUUACUAGACUGUGACUGACAUUGAUGCUCGAAGGUGUGGGUAUCAAAAAGGAUUAGAUACCCCGGUAGUC